rnacentral:lncRNA from 1 species
GCGAAACGAGCGUAGCUUCCUUGUCGUGUGGCCUCAGUCCUUCGCCGUCCCUCGCCGUCCUUCGCCAUCGCACGCCACCGCACCCCAUCUCUCGAAAUCUGCAGACAUCUUGAUUUUUCCCACGCUGUCUGUCAGGUCUCCGCCGCCACUCGACGCCAGGGCGCCGGGUGAGUCCACAGCAGGGCGCAUGGUCGGCUCCACUCUCACCAUCGGGGGAAACUGAGGCCCCGGGGAAGGCGGCCAGAGAGGUCAGGCCCUGUCCUUGGUGCAGUGUCUCGUCCUCUUUGCCGGAGUGAGCCCCCCAGGAUUCGCGUGUCCUCGGGAAAGACACUGGCAGGCCUUGUGGGCUGUGCUGCACCUCGGACGGCUUCGCACCAGCCAGCGCCCUCUCUCUCCUGCAGCACUCUGAUCUGCACCCCCUGAGGGGCUUCCACUGUCCGCGGGGUGAGAAUGCCCCUGGGAGUGUCACAUGACUGCCGCCCCAUGUGUGUGAGAGGCGUCCUCUGGGAGAGCAUGGAUCCUGAGGUCCCAGGUCUCAGCCUUAGAUCCAAGGACAGUCCAAGGAAGUCCUAAGACCAUGGAGUUGGUGAUCUGGGAUCUGGGUUUGCUGAUAUUUCUCACCGUGAAUCUCUUGGUGGUGUUUGUGGGCACGAGAGGGGCAGAGAAUGGAGAGUGAGGCUACCACAUGAAGCGUCACCAGAGCUGCUCCCUGCUGCCUGCUCAGAGCACCCCGGAUCCACUGUUCAAUCUGCACAAGAUUCGGGGUCCAGACAUGGGAGACUUCAGCUGCCUCAGAGGACCGUGGACAGGGAAGGCCAGCCUCGCAUCCCUCUGUCCAUGCCUGGAAUGACUUUAAUAACCAAGAGUUUUAUUUUUGAAUUUGUAGCUGUCGUUCACUUUUUACCCACCCAUUCAAUAAACCUUACAGAAUUGCUC